CUGGAACUUAAUUUGGGUCCGGCCCUUCGGCUUGGGCCCUGCCUCCGCAGCCUCACUCAGCUCAAGCUCCUGCCGCGCAAAUAGUCCCAGCGGAUUCUCUCUCGUGUCGGGCCGCCCUCGGGGGUCCUUUCUCUUCACGGCCCAUCUUUGGUGCUGUCUUCAGAAUUGCCGGACGCAGGUGACAAGACAAUCGUUUCCAUCAUAUCCUUGCCCCUUUUUGUCAGCCCCAGAGACACCGUCUCCUCGCUUGUUCAGGAAGAUUCUAGCGGAAGCAGGCAGUAUUCCUUUCCCUAAGCAUGAAAUGGGGUUUCCCAAACAGGCGUAUGUAUUGGACGCCUCGGGCGGAGCGCGGGCUGGCGCCGAGGACCGGCCUUGCGAGCGGCGCGCACUAUAAAAUGGCGUGUGCUGCAACCCGCGCCCGCUUCGGAGAGAGAAAUGCUGGGGUGCAGCUUCCAGCUUAGGACCACCCACCAUGCCCAUCCAGGUGCUGAAGGGCCUGACCAUCACUCGUUAAGAACAGAGGAGGCUGCCUGUUACUCCUGGUGACGCAUCCCUCCAGACUCUCUGCUGUUUCCUGCCUAGGCGUGGCUGCAGCCAUGGCUAGGAAAGUGCUGCCACCCACCCACCUGGGCCGGAGCUGGUUCUGCUCCUGCUGCAGGGACACUGAGCUGGCUAUCUCGGCGCUUCGGGCAAGAACCGCAACAGGCUCUCCUGGGUCCUGUAGGUGUACAGCCGGGCCCCUGCCUUGUGCCUCAGCUCUCGAGAGCUGCUGCUGCUGGGUGACCUGAUCCAACCUGACAAGGUGCCGUCUUCAGCUACCACUGCAAGGCCCUGAGGGCAACAGCAGCACGGCACUGCCCACCCGGCUGCUGAUGGCCUGGUGCCACCUGGGAGUCCUCCCGGCACUUCGAGGCCACUGAGCCACCCUUCCAGCCCCAGCCCACCAUGGACAGGGGUAUCCAGCUUUCUCCUCAACCUCGUCCUCUGCCCCUGAGCCAGUGACGCCCAAGGACAUGCCUGUUACCCAGGUCCUGUACCAGCACUAGCGGGUCAAGGGCAUGACAGUGCUGGAGGCCGUCUUGGAGAUCCAGGCCAUCACUGACAGCAGGCUGCUCUCCAUGGUGCCAGGGCCCGCCAGGCCACCAGGCUCAUGCUGGGACCCAACCCAGUGCACAAGGACUUGGCUGCUGAGCCACACACCCAGGAGAAGGUGGAUAAGUGGGCUACCAAGGGCUUCCUGCAGGCUAGGGGAGGAGCCACCCCUGCUUCCCUAUUGUGACCAGGCCUAUGGGGAGGAGCUGUCCAUACGCCACCAUGAGACCUGGGCCUGGCUUUCAAGGACACACCGCCUGGCCUGGUGCUCCAGGGGUGAAGCAGGCCAGAAUCCUGGGGGAGCUGCUCCUGGUUUGAGCUGCAGUCAGGAAGUGCAGGACACGGUAGGGGAGGCAAAAAGCCUUGGGCACUACCCUCCCUGUGGAGCUGUUCGGUGUCCCUCGAGCUAGCCACACCCUGACACCAUGUUCAAGGGUGCUGGAAGAGAAGGGUGUCUGCCCCCAACCUCCCCCGUGGGUGUCACUGGCCAGACGUCAUGAGGGAAGCAGGCCUUGUGAGUGGACACUGACCAUGAGUCCCUGGGGGGAGUGAUCCCCCAGGCAUCGUGUGCCAUGUUGCAUUUCUGCCCAGGCAGCAGGGUGGGUGGGUACCAUGGGUGCCCACCCCUCCACCACAUGGGGCCCUAAAGCACCGCAGGCCAAGCAGGGCAACCCCACGCCCUUGACAUAAAAGCAUCUUGAAGCUUUUACUCCGUUUUUGUAAGGAUUGGUUUGUUUUGUGUUUCUGAGACUGUUUUGCUCUUGAUGCCCAGGCUGGAGUGCAAUGGUGCAAUCUCAGCUCACUAACCGCCACCUCCUGGGUCCAGGUGAUUCUCCUGCCUCAGCCUCCCAAGUAGCUGGGAUUACAGGCACCUGCCACCACGCCUGGCUAGUUUUGUAUUUUCAGUAGAGAUGAGGUUUCACCAUUGUUGGCCAUGCUGGUCUCGAACUUAUGACCUCAGGUGAUCUGCCCGCCUCGGCCUCCCAAAGUGCUGGGAUUACAGGUGUGAGCCACCAUGCCUGGCCUGUCACGGGUUUUCUCUUAAGGUCUCUGUUGCUAUGCCUUUUCUCUGAAAGCGUGCAUUGGCUGUGUGCUGUGGGCAUCCAGUCCCUUCUGAUGGGUCUGCUUUUGCUGUGUGUGGCUUCUGUGUGGUCUGGGUUUAGGGUGUGCUGGGGCCGGAAUCUCAGGUGGCAGCUCUGUGAGGACUCACUGAGCCCUAGCAGUUCUGACCUCACAGCUGAGGCCUUGGGCACAGGGGCCCCUGUUAAACAGCGGACAGAACACUCCAAACUCUGGUGCUUAAUCGUCUGUGGGUUCAGCUGCUGAGCUGCGUCCAGGGGGAUCCACCCAGGCCUCUGCCCACUAGCAGGCCCCCAGCUCUGAACGGGCCCUUCCAGGAGGCUGCUGGGAAAGGGUGGGCUCUUGCCACCAGGUGGGAGUUGGUCACAGCCACAGGUAACCCCACCUGACACUUGGGGUCUCCGUGAGCCUGCAAGGAAGCCAGGCUCCCUCCCAGGGCCAGAAAGUAUGAGGGGCGUUCAUUCCUCAGCCUUCCCAGGGUCAUGGCUCCUGGCAUCCAUCUGGGGUGGCCCAUGACCACCCAGCUCCUCUAGGGAAUGCCGGGUAGGGCAGUGAGGCAGGUCUGGGGACUCCCCAGGGAUGAGACUGCAUGAGAGGCUGCCCUCAGCACCCUGGGAAGAAAUGGGCUAGGGCAGUAUGCAGGUGGCCCUUGUGUGGAGGAAGGGUUGUCCCAGCUUCCACUCCCUGGCGUUUCUGGACCCUGUCCCUUUUUUAGGUCCUGGGUCACUGGGAGUGGCUUUGAACCUUCCUCCGACUGCCCCAUGUAAUGGGGGCCAAGUGGCUGUUAACUAAGCAUCCACUGUACCAGGGCUCCCUACAGGUUCCCUGGUUAGUGCCACACAGCCAUGGGUGUGGGGCAAGGCCUGGGAGGGGCGGGCGCCCUGCUCUAGGCCACACUAUGGUGGCCUCCCCUUGGGGGCCAGGGGCUCAAACGGCACCCAUGCAGGUGCUCCACGGCAUCUGCUGCUGCAUGAGUAUGGGCGGAGUAGCUCUCAUCAGCAUCUGAUAAAUGAUUGCAGUGGUGGAUGUGUGGCCCAUGUGAUGGUUGGGAGCUGAACACUCCAUUUUAUUUAACCUAAAUUUAAAUAGCCACACAUGGUCAUGGCUACUGUAUUGGCCAGCGCCUCCACAUCACUUGCAGCAGUUACAGUGCACAGCCGAGAGUGUCAUCGGUUUUCCCUGCUCUCUGCCUGUCCCCAGGAAGUUAAUUUUGGGAGUUGUGGAGUCCACUGGGUUAGAGUCGUGGUUCUGCCAAGUGAGACACAUCAGGGCCUAUCACUUGCCCAGAGGCGCACAGCCUCGGAAACCAGGCUUUGAAUCGUGCACCUUUCUCAGGUCUGCUGCCAGAUCCCCCCGACUCUACCCAAGUUCAUGGUUGCAUUGAGAGCUAUGGAGGUCACCAAAUAACCAGACUUGAGGGUCCAACUCCUGUGAGCCUGGUCUCCACAGAGCACAUGGUCCACAUCGAGGCUCACUGAGUAAGGUCUCGUCACAAGCUGCAAGUGGAGGUACGUACAGGGUCCACCAUGUCCUCAGCCAGCCUACCUGCUUCCAAUGCUUAUAUGGAAAGGUGCAUAAACAUACCACCUGGGUGUGGUGGCUCACACCUGUAAUCCCAGUGCUUUGGGAGGCCAUGGCAGGAGGAUUGCUUGAGGCCAGGAAUUUGAGACCAGCCUGGCCAACAUACCAAGAAAACAAAAUAAACCAGGUAUUGUGCACGCCUGUAGAAGCUGAAACAGGAGGGUCACUUGAGACAGGAGUUCAAAGCUGCAGUGAGCUAUGCUCAUGCCACUACUCCAGCCUGGGCCACAAAGAUCUUGUCUCUACAAAAAAAGUGCCACGCAGGCAUGCCUGCUUGUUCAGACGGGAACAUUUGUGCUUGAAUGUAUGUCACAGACAUGUUUUUACCAGCAUGUAUGUACAGACCACCUGUGCACGCGUCUAAGUGCAGAAACUUCACACAUGUGACACGCAUGCAUGCACACUCAUGCCACCGUCACACAGACGCACACAUGCACACACACUGGUUUCCAGGCCGGAGACUCCACACAGCCCUCGUUCCCCAUGCACACAGGCGCACAGUAAGUCACAGAAGCCAGAGCAGCUAGUGAGCACACAUGUUGGGGUCCAGUGUCAGCUGGGGGUAGGGAAGCCCUGGUUUCUGGCUCACACGGGGCCCCCCAAGGCCCGCAGGCACCCUGGUCUCCAGGCCAGCAGGCCCAGCCCCAAGCUGAGUGCCACCAGCACAGCUACAGCUCCGGCCAGCAGGGGCACCACUGGAGCUGCAGGGAGAACGCGGUGGGUGAGUGCCAGGACUUGGAGACCCUCCACUCCCACCCCAACACAGAGGACUGUCACCUGGGGGGGUGGCAGCCUCAUAGGGGCCAUGGCAGGAGACCCCAUGGGCCGGAGGCCGGGCCGGGGCGGUCAGCUGGUAGAAGCGGCCUAGUGGACAGGGGGCCGGGCACCCGGGGAGGCUGAGAGGCAGGGGCAGGUGGGCGGAGUCAUUGCGGUAGAAGAGGGAGACGGUGACAUUCCUGGAGAGAGAGGACAUGGUGGCACCUCCUCCCUCCUGUCAUUGAUCUUAAAGCCUGGAGAAAAGGGCUUCUGACUCCCACCUGUCAUCCUCCCAGCACCAUCCCAUGCAGCUCCCCGCCUGGCCAUGCCCUCUGCCUGACACAUCACCCCUUGCUUUGAGAGUUUUGUCCCGCCCAUGUCCCUGGGCACCAAACCAUUCUCACCCUCCAUCUUUGUUGGGAUUCCCCAGGUGCUUCCGGAACUCAAAGCCGAGGCAGGCAGCAUAUGGCGGGGUGUGUCCAUCAUAGAGGCCCAGGGCCCCCUGGAGGGCCAGCAGGGUGCUGUCAUGCUGCAGGUGGACCCGAGGGCUGAGACGGCACUUCUCUCUGGAGGCCUUUCUCCUGAACACUAGACUUGUGCAUCCAGAUGUCCCCCAGGCUUCUUAGAACCAACCCCCCAAAGCUACUCCUUCCUCUCCUGAAGGCAGUACCAACAGUUGCAGGCGGCCACUUAAUAAAGAUUGCUCAAGUAGGUGCAAAAUAUGAUUGGACUAAGCAGCCUUUCUCCUCCGGAAGGACAGACUGCUUAGUCCAAUCAUAGUUUCUUAAAGAAAACAAGUAAGGAAUUAUAUUUAAUUCAUAAAUUCUUCCUCCCAUUACACCGUCACCUCUUUCCAGACUAAUGGUAGAGCCUGAGAGUAGGGUUUGGAGAUACGGGUUACCCCAGGCAGUGGGCUGAGAUCCACUGGGACCACAGGCUCCUCCUCAUCUAAAUCGCUGUCACCCUCAUCCCUGUGCCUCAGUGCCACGUGGCACUGCUUCCCAAGGACUCACAGCUGAGUACAUGACCAUCUUGAGGGGCAGCCCCAGGCGCUGGACCCGGGAGAAGUUUGCAAGGAUAGCAUUCAGCAGGAUCCCUGAGGAUGGGAAAAAAGAGCUUAGACUCUCCCAGAGGAAGGCACCCCAGCCUCCCGGACCCACACCUCACCCCCUGUCAGCUGGGCCUUCUCUGCUGCCCGGGGUGGGCCCACGUGGGCUCCAAUAUCCAAAGCCGAGAUCUGGGCAAGAGUCCGCAGGACAUCUGGGGAGGCCCAGGCUGGUAGUGGAAGACCGUGGGCUUGCUGUGGGGAGACAGGACAGAUGGACCAUCCUGAGCCCUCGAGUUUGCCUCUGGCCCCGCAGGCCUGUGCUGCCCCCUGCUCUUCUGAGUCCACCCAUGGGCCGGAUCUGGAUCUGGCUGGGAAAUCAUGAUGUGGAUAACAGUGAUUUUUUGUUGUUGUUGUUUUUUGUUUUGAAACGGAGCCUUGCUCCAUCACCCAGGCUGGAGUGCAGUAGCGCAAUCUUGGCUCUCUGCAACCCUUGCCUCCCGGGUUCAGGUGAUUCUCCUGCCUCAGCCUCCCAAGUAGCUGUGAUUACAAGUGCGUGCCACCAUUCCUGGCUAAUUUUUUUUUUUAUUUUUAGUAGAGACGGGGUUUUACUGUGUUGGUCAGACUGGUCUGAAACUCCUGACCUCAGGUGAUCUGCCCACCUCAGCCUGCCAAAGUGGUGGGAUUACAGGUGUGAGCCACCACGCCCAGCCAACAGCGAUUAUUAGUUAAUAAUAGACAUUGUCAUUACACAGCCCAGAAGGCUUUAUCUGAAACCCCUGGGGCCAGAGGUAUUUCACAGCUCAGACAUUCUGGACUUUAGAAAGGUCUGAUGGUGCUGACACCACACAGCAUGGAACACACAUAGCAAGGGCCGGGGCAGCCCCCUUAGUCACACACAUCGCUGCUCCCACCCUGCGAUUCAGAACAUUCCCGUGAGCUGGAGUGAGCAAAGACUAGCAAGAGUACUAGCUGGAAAACACAAGGAAGCCGCUUGCUCGUGGUCUACCUCCUGGGCACCCUUGGUGCGUCCCCAUGUGGCCCCUGUGGCAUGCCCCCUCCUCUGGGGAAGCUUUGUUAGUUGUGGAGACAGGAUCUCACUCUUGCCCAGGCUGGAGUGCAGUGGCGUGAUCUUGGCUCAUGGCAACCUCGACCCCCUGGGCUCAAGUGAUCCUCCCAUCUGGAGAAGGAAAUUUUGCCUGGGCCUCCUCAACUGUUCUCCUGGCCUGCAGGCUCCUGUUUUGAGAUAUUUCUAUACCCAGAACUGACCUGGUCCCUCCCCUGCUCUCAACCCUCUCAUGGCUCCCCAGCACCCUCCGGGGCAAAACCCAAACGCCUCAGUGUGGUGUUCAAGGUUGAGACUCUCCAAUCUCACAUGUCCCGAUGUCACAGACACCACAUGUGGCGGGCCACACCAGGGUCUGUCUCUGCCCUAUGCCCCUGCCUGUCCCCUCUACCAGAAUGCCCUUUCCCCGUUGCCAUGGCCACCAUUCUGGUCUCUCCGACAACCCCCUCUCGGGGUUCCAGUGGCUUCUCCCCUCUCUGGCUCAGAGGCCCAGGAAAGAGAGAGAAGACCAAGCAAGGGGUGGCUGGAGUCCCAAGGCCAUGAACUUUCAGGAAAAUGUGACCCUGGCCAUGGCCUUGUUCACCAUCCUGACCUCCAUCUAUUUCUUCAACAAGGUGAG